rnacentral:piRNA from 1 species
UAUGUUUGGUCCUUCAUAGCUAUCCUCGG